CUGGAAUCUCACAAGUCUUGAAAGUUGUACAUGCAGAGAGACCAGACCGCCCACCUGUCUCCCGAGACGGUGAUCAGAUGUUUGCAGUCGAAGGUGUAGUUUCGGGAAUUCAAGAGAGCGAGGAGAGCGGUGGACAGCAUCUCACCUGACAUUUCUGUCCUGGCACGCCACAGCGACGUACUUCUGAGUUAUAUCCACGUCCAUGUCAUACAAAGUGGUCUUUUCUGCAACGUGGUGAGACCGGGUGAAAUUAAUUCCACCUCCGACCUGAAGCGAGGAAGCAGAGUCUCUGAAGCAGGAUUUAUGCUUCAGCCUCAUCCCAGUUUACCCAUCCUGGUGUCCUGAAGGAGGACGGAGCUCCAGUUCCUGCGAUCCCUAGCCAACAUAGUUAGAGAAAGGCUGAAAGAUGGUCAGAAGGAUUUGCAAACAGACUUUUCACAGGACUCCAU